rnacentral:rRNA from 1 species
CCUACGGGUGGCAGCAGUGAGGAAUAUUGGUCAAUGGGCGCGAGCCUGAACCAGCCAAGUAGCGUGAAGGAUGACUGCCCUACGGUUUGUAAACUUCUUUUAUAAAGGAAUAAAGUGAGGCACGUGUGCCUUUUUGUAUGUACUUUAUGAAUAAGGAUCGGCUAACUCAGUGCCAGCAGCCGCGGUAAUACGGAGGAUCCGAGAGUUAUCCGGAUUUAUUUGGUUUAAAGGGGGCGUAGAUGGGUUGUUGAGUCAGUUGUGAAAGUUUGCGGCUAAACCGUAAAAUUGAAAUUGAUAAUAGCAGACUAGAGUACGAUGGAGGUAGGCGGAAUUCGAGGUGAAGCGGUGAAAUGCUUAGA